GACGAACGCUGGCGGCGUGCUUAACACAUGCAAGUCGAACGGAAAGGCCCUGCUUUUGUGGGGUGCUCGAGUGGCGAACGGGUGAGUAACACGUGAGUAACCUGCCCUUGACUUUGGGAUAACUUCAGGAAACUGGGGCUAAUACCGGAUAGGAGCUCCUGCUGCAUGGUGGGGGUUGGAAAGUUUCGGCGGUUGGGGAUGGACUCGCGGCUUAUCAGCUUGUUGGUGGGGUAGUGGCUUACCAAGGCUUUGACGGGUAGCCGGCCUGAGAGGGUGACCGGCAACAAUGGGACUGAGAUACGGCCCAGACUCCUACGGGAGGCAGCAGUGGGGAAUAUUGCACAAUGGGCGGAAGCAGGAUGCAGGAACGCCGCGUGCGGGAUGACGGCCUUCGGGUUGUAAACCGCUUUCGCCUGUGACGAAGCGUGAGUGACGGUAAUGGGUAAAGAAGCACCGGCUAACUACGUG
rnacentral:rRNA from 1 species